rnacentral:rRNA from 1 species
GACGAAUGAUGGAGGAGGGAGGAACACAGGCAAGUCGAACGGAAAGGCCCUGCUUUUGUGGGGUGCUCGAGUGGCGAACGGGUGAGUAACACGUGAGUAACCUGCCCUUGACUUUGGGAUAACUUCAGGAAACUGGGGCUAAUACCGGAUAGGAGCUCCUGCGGCAUGGUGGGGGUUGGAAAGUUUCGGCGGUUGGGGAUGGACUCGCGGCUUAUCAGCUUGUUGGUGGGGUAGUGGCUUACCAAGGCUUUGACGGGUAGCCGGCCUGAGAGGGUGACCGGCCACAUUGGGACUGAGAUACGGCCCAGACUCCUACGGGAGGCAGCAGUGGGGAAUAUUGCACAAUGGGCGGAAGCCUGAUGCAGCAACGCCGCGUGCGGGAUGACGGCCUUCGGGUUGUAAACCGCUUUCGCCUGUGACGAAGCGUGAGUGACGGUAAUGGGUAAAGAAGCACCGGCUAACUACGUG